GGGCGAGUAGCUCAGCUGGUAAGAGCGCGCGGUUCACAUCCGCGAGGUCGUAGGUUCAAGUCCUAUCUCGCCCA
rnacentral:tRNA from 1 species